AUUUUGAUAGCUUAAAAUAUUAAAAAAAAAGUAAAGUUUUGAAGAAACUUAGAUGGGUUUUCCUCAAAAUA
rnacentral:tRNA from 1 species